rnacentral:rRNA from 1 species
GACGAACGCUGGCGGCGUGCCUAAUACAUGCAAGUAGAACGCUGAAGAGAGGAGCUUGCUCUUCUUGGAUGAGUUGCGAACGGGUGAGUAACGCGUAGGUAACCUGCCUUGUAGCGGGGGAUAACUAUUGGAAACGAUAGCUAAUACCGCAUAACAAUGGAUGACACAUGUCAUUUAUUUGAAAGGGGCAAUUGCUCCACUACAAGAUGGACCUGCGUUGUAUUAGCUAGUAGGUGAGGUAACGGCUCACCUAGGCGACGAUACAUAGCCGACCUGAGAGGGUGAUCGGCCACACUGGGACUGAGACACGGCCCAGACUCCUACGGGAGGCAGCAGUAGGGAAUCUUCGGCAAUGGGGGCAACCCUGACCGAGCAACGCCGCGUGAGUGAAGAAGGUUUUCGGAUCGUAAAGCUCUGUUGUAAGUCAAGAACGAGUGUGAGAGUGGAAAGUUCACACUGUGACGGUAGCUUACCAGAAAGGGACGGCUAACUACGUGCCAGCAGCCGCGGUAAUACGUANGUCCCGAGCGUUGUCCGGAUUUAUUGGGGCGUAAAGGCGAGCGCAGGCCGGUUUGAUAAGUCUGAAGUAAAAGGGCUGUGGCUCAACCAUAGUUCGCUUUGGAAACUGUCAAACUUGAGUGCAGAUGGGGAGAGUGGAAUUCCAUGUGUAGCGGUGAAAUGCGUAGAUAUAUGGAGGAACACCGGUGGCGAAAGCGGCUCUCUGGUCUGUAACUGACGCUGAGGCUCGAAAGCGUGGGGAGCGAACAGGAUUAGAUACCCUGGUAGUCCACGCCGUAAACGAUGAGUGCUAGGUGUUGGAUCCUUUCCGGGAUUCAGUGCCGCAGCUAACGCAUUAAGCACUCCGCCUGGGGAGUACGACCGCAAGGUUGAAACUCAAAGGAAUUGACGGGGGCCCGCACAAGCGGUGGAGCAUGUGGUUUAAUUCGAAGCAACGCGAAGAACCUUACCAGGUCUUGACAUCCCGAUGCUAUUUCUAGAGAUAGAAAGUUACUUCGGUACAUCGGUGACAGGUGGUGCAUGGUUGUCGUCAGCUCGUGUCGUGAGAUGUUGGGUUAAGUCCCGCAACGAGCGCAACCCCUAUUGUUAGUUGCCAUCAUUCAGUUGGGCACUCUAGCGAGACUGCCGGUAAUAAACCGGAGGAAGGUGGGGAUGACGUCAAAUCAUCAUGCCCCUUAUGACCUGGGCUACACACGUGCUACAAUGGUUGGUACAACGAGUUGCGAGUCGGUGACGGCAAGCUAAUCUCUUAAAGCCAAUCUCAGUUCGGAUUGUAGGCUGCAACUCGCCUACAUGAAGUCGGAAUCGCUAGUAAUCGCGGAUCAGCACGCCGCGGUGAAUACGUUCCCGGGCCU